GAGUUUCAGCAGUAUUAAAGUGCUUAUAGUGCAGGUAGUUUUUAGUGACCUACUGCAGUAUGAGCACUUGAAGUACUUCUAGCUAAGUGCGUCGGACUUAAAUUUGUUGCU
rnacentral:miRNA from 1 species